UAUGCAUCAUUUCUGUGCCCGCAGGGCCCUGCCUGCUGAGGCCUUGGGGGCUGCGGGCGGGCGCGGUCUGGUUGCUGUGCACCUGAUCGGCUCUGCUCUGGGUGAGAAAAUUGACAGACAAACAUGAAUGGAUAACAACAGAAAAUGGCAUUGGAACAGUGGGAAUCAGCAAUUUUGCACAGGAAGCUUUGGGAGAUGUUGUAGUCUGCCCAAAGUUGGAACAAAAUUGAACAAACAAGGUUGGCUGAUCAAGAUGACACUCAGUAACCCUUCAGAACUGGAUGAACUAAUGAGUGAAGAAGCAUAUGAGAAAUACAUAAAAUCUACUGAGGAGUGAAAGUGGAAUCCCUAAAUAAAAUUGUUUGAAACCAAAAAAAAAAAAAAAAAAAAAAAAAAAAAAGAAGAAGAAGGAAAUGGAAAAACAGUAGUUAUUUCAAGGAGUUCCUGUCUUGGCACUAGGAACCAUGAGGUUGUGGGUUUGAUCCCUGGCCUCGCUCAGUGCGUUAAGGAUCUGGUGUUGCUGUGAGCUAUGGUGUAGGUUGCAGACGCAGCUUGGAUCUGGUGUGGCUGUGGCUGUGGCGUAGGCCAGCAGCUGUAGCUCUGAUUAGACCCCUAGCCUGGGAACCUCCAUAUGCCACGGGUGUGGUCCUAAAAAAAGACAAAAGACCAAAAAAAAAAAAAAAAAAAAAAAAGAAGAAGAAUAGGAAGAAGAAAAAAAGAGUAGUUAUUUCAAUAAGUUUGGUUAUAAAGGAGAGAAGAGGGUUAAGUAGAAGCUGGAGAGGGAUGUGAAGUCAAGGAAAAUUAUUUUUGUAGACUGGAGAGACCUGAGCUUGUUUAAAUGUCAAUGAAAAUAUCCAAUGAGAGGGAAAGGUUGAACAAACAGGAAAUAGAAAGAAUAAUAGUGUAAGGUUUCUGGAGUUCCCAUUGUGGCCCAGCCCUAACAAACCCAACUAUUAUCCAUGAGGACGCAGUUUGAUCCCUGGCCUCACUCAGUGGGCUAAGGAUCUGGUGUUGCUGGCUGGGGUGUAGGCCAGUCAUUGCAGUUCCGAUUUGACCCCUAGCCUGGGGAACUUCCAUAUGCUGCAGGUGCAGCCCUAAAAACAUACACACACAAAAAUAGUACAAAAAUAGUACAAGGUUUUUGGGAAUAGGUGAGGGGAUAGGCUAUAAAGCACAGUGAAAAGAAAUGAGAAGCAUAAAAGGAGGCAGGGAGAGGAUUUGUGCUACUGUGAACAAUAUGUAAAUUUGAUGGGAAGUGGGGGGAUUAAACGAGAUAAUGCAUGUAAAGCACUUAGCAUGGUUCCUGGAAUGUUAGUUUGUAUCAGAAAUGGUAGCUCUGGUUAUUGUUGUUGUUGUUAAUAAUGUUAUACACCUGCUUGAAACUUUCAUUUUGGGCUUUGGGCUGUGUAAAAUGAGCUAAUACACUAUUAAUGCUGAAAAUCUGAAGUUUUGUGUGUCAAGUCUAUAUACAGAAAGGGUUACUUGAACUUUUUGAUUCCUUGCCUCCAUCCUCUCCAGGUAUUCUGAGUAGUUGCUUGUCUCCUGAUUUUGGUAAGACAGAAAAAAGUUGUACAUUUAAGAUUAGUGUGCUUAUGCACUCUUCUAUAUACAUUUUACACCUCUAAAUUUUUUAAAAAUGUCCUCCAAAGCCCCUUUUACUAUUAACUCACCCAAAGAAAAAUGACAAUAAAGGUGAACUGCUGACAGGGUUAGAAAGGAUCUGAGGGGUUCAAUUCAAGGGGAAACUUUAUUUGCACUUCAAAUCCACAGAAUGAGAGUAGAAAGCUGAGCCAGAAUUGUUCAAUAUCUUGAAGGUCCAGGUAGCCUCUUUACCUCUGAUCAAACUUCUCUGCAAGGAAGAAGUCAUACUCCUGGAUGCAUCCCCUAAUAUCCCCUAAUUUUGCUUCAUCUCCAAAUCCUCAGCCAGGCUUUUCUGUGAUCAAUUCCUUAUCUUUGCUGCCCAUGUCCAUUCUCCCACGUCCAUCUUACUCCUAGCUCCCAAUGAAACUUUAUGUUCCUUGAAUCUGAACUGAGAGGAAAGGGUUCUAUGAAGAACUCUUGAGAUCAUCUGAGGCUUAGUGAGCUUCCUAGUUUGAAGUUUCUCAGAGUUUGAAUCUCCUAGAUUCUCG
rnacentral:lncRNA from 9 species